AACGCACAUUGCGCCUCUCGGUAUUCCGGGAGGCACGCCUGUUCGAGCGCCAUUACACACUCCAAGCAGUGCUUGAUGUUGGUCCGGUGUGUCUUUUCGGGUUGUCUUCUCUUUCUCUUUCUGGAGAGGGAGGGGGAGAUGGAGAGACGCAGGACUGGAACGUGUUGGCGCCGCCGCCAGACCACGAGCGUAGCAAGACGAGAGUCAAGAAAUCGCAUCGGAUUGGAUCUGACGGUGGUUGGCCUUUUUGUGUAUCUUGUUUGUAGAAGAUGCAAAACGACAGUUUGGCCUCGGAUCAGGCGGGGAUACCCGCUGAACUUAA
rnacentral:misc_RNA from 1 species